rnacentral:tRNA from 1 species
GGAUAUAGCUCAAUUGGUAGAAUGCUUGCCUUGCAUGCACAAGGCCCUGGGUUUGAUCCCCAGCACCA